rnacentral:pre_miRNA from 1 species
UUUAAGCGCAGCCAUGAGUUUUCGUGUCUAACUUUGAUCGUCCAUUUUAUUUAAAAAUUUUUUAUGAUUAAUAUUUUUUAUUAUUAAAAGAUAAAACAUGAAUAAUUCUUUUUUUUAUUGUACAUGAAUAAUCCUUUAGUGGUGACUUAUGUUUUUAUUUUUUUUUAAAAAAACCAGAUAAGAUAAACGUUUAAAGUUAGAAAAAAAAUAUUGUUGCGCGACGG